UGGGGAAUAUUGCACAAUGGGGGAAACCCUGAUGCAGCAACGCCGCGUGAGUGAUGACGGCCUUCGGGUAGUAAAGCUCUGUCUUCAGGGACGAUAAUGACGGUACCUGAGGAGGAAGCCACGGCUAACUACGUGCCAGCAGCCGCGGUAAUACGUAGGGAGCAAGCGUUGUUCGGAUUUACUGGGCGUAAAGGGCGCGUAGACGGCGCGGUAAGUCACUUGUGAAAUCUCUGAGCUUAACUCAGAACGGCCAAGUGAUACUGCUGUGCUAGAGUGCGGAAGAGGCAACCGGAAUUCUUGGUGUAGCGGUGAAAUGCGUAGAUAUCAAGAGGAACACCUGAGGCGAAGGCGGGUUGCUGGGCCGACACUGACGCUGAUGCGCGAAAGCCAGGGGAGCAAACG
rnacentral:rRNA from 1 species